UGCUGCACACACAUACAAACGGCAUGUGUGCACAUUCGGAGUUCCCGGGCGGCCCGUAGUCCCCGAGGCGCGGCUUCUCCGUCACCCACCCCUCUCCCCCCUUUUGUCCUCCUUCCUCCCAUCCAGGCUGCUUCCAGAACCUCUCGGUCCCCGGAACCAGGGGGAGCCCACCCUAACUGCGCUCCUGCAGCACAACAACGAGAAAAGCUCCUUCCAAAUGGGGAGGAUCAGGGUAGGGGGAUGGGGAGAGGGUGCGCGGUUCCCUUCUCGCCACUUCCUUGUAUGGACAGUGGGGGACUCCAAAGCCCGGCUCCGAGAGGCCCGAAGCUUGGUACCCGGACGUGCAGGGGGAAGCACAAAGGGGCCGACGAGAAGGGGGUGGGGAGGCCUGCCGGUGCAAUGAAAUGGAGUGGGCUGAAGCCUCAGGAGAGCAAAUCGAGGGCGGCGGCACGGACAUCGCUGCCUGGCAUCGCGAUGGAACCAAGGACCGUUCAAGCUGCCUCUUACUACCCUCUCUUAGCCACUGUCCCUGAGAACCACUCUUAAAGAGGAAGUCAAAAGCCCAAACAGUCCGUAAUCCUGACAACGCCCAGCUACCUGCCUACAGCUGACUUCAAUCCCCAACUUGCAACGCGGCGCAGUAUUCAAGGGUGAACGGGAACGCGUUGCACCCUGGGAGUAAGAAUCGCGAUGGGUCUGAUGAGUUGUGGGAGUUGUAGUUUCAUAUGCAGACGCUGCCCUGUACCGUAGGAUGUCUGGGGCCGGGGGAUGGGGAGCCUGCUGGGAAGGGUACUGGGAUUUGUAGUUUGAGCCCCUCGCCUCAAAUUCUGGGUAGAGAGACAUAUUUCUCUUUGGGUGUGCGCUGUUAUCCCCUUAUUACCGCCUUCCGAUAUGGACAGAUACUUCUGCCUAACUGCGGAUGAAGCCAUUGAGAAGGGGACUGGAUGAAUAAACCCCACUAGACGUUAAUUAACAUUAGUGACAAUA